rnacentral:rRNA from 1 species
UACGUAGGGUGCAAGCGUUGUCCGGAAUUAUUGGGCGUAAAGAGCUCGUAGGCGGCUUGUCACGUCGACUGUGAAAACCCGGGGCUCAACUCCGGGCCUGCAGUCGAUACGGGCUGGCUUGAGUGCGGUAGGGGAGACUGGAAUUCCUGGUGUAGCGGUGAAAUGCGCAGAUAUCAGGAGGAACACCGAUGGCGAAGGCAGCUCGCUGGGACGUGACUGACGCUGAGACGCGAAAGCGUGGGGAGCAAACAGG